AAGGUAAUUCCUGCCCUAUGGUUUAAUCUAAAUGGCUGCAGUAUUUUGACUGUGCAAAGGUAGCAUAGUAAUUAGUUUCUUAAUUGGGAACUUGUAUGAAUGGAUAAAUGAGAUAUAAUUUUUAUUUAAUUAAAAGUUAAAAUUUUAAUUUUAAGUGAAAAUGCUUAAGAUUUUUCUUGGGACGAUAAGACCCUAUAGAGCUUUACAUUUGUUUAUAAAAUUUUCUUUAAUUUUUUUGUAAGAUUUUCUGUUCGUAUGUUUUGCUGGGGUGGUAGAUAAAUUUUAACUUUAUUUAUUAUUUUCAUUAAUAAUUGUUUUUAUUGAUCUUAAUGGAUUAUAAGAAUAAGUUACCUUAGGGAUAACAGCGUAAUUUUAGUGGGGAGUUCAUAUCUAUACUGAUUUUGCGACCUCGAUGUUGAAUUAAGAAAAAACUAAGAAGCAGAAUUCUUAGAUUUAAGUCUGUUCGA
rnacentral:rRNA from 1 species